rnacentral:rRNA from 1 species
CCCCCCGAAUUGUAGUCUAGAAAGGCGCCAUCGGCCGCGACCUUCGCUAAAAUCCCUUGGAACAGGGUAUCGUAGAAGGUGAGAAUCCUGUGACGUGUGGGUUCGCGGCCGCACGAUGCGCUCUUGCAGAGUCGGGUUGCUUGGGAUUGCAGCUUGAAGUGGGUGGUAAAUUCCAUCUAAAGCUAAAUAUCGGCUCAUGACCGAUAGCGAACAAGUACCGUGAGGGAAAGAUGCAAAGAACUUUGAAAAGAGAGUUAAAGAGUGCUUGAAAUCGGCAAGAGGAAACCCGGUUGUGCCCGGUGUCGCGUGAUCGACCAGUCUUCUUUGUGGGAGGCGCAUCCGAGAGCGUGGGUCAGACGCAUCUCUGUGGGUGGCAUAACCGCUCGGUAGGGCUUCGGUGAGCCGAGUUUUCGCCACGCGCGGGGCAUCGUCUGACAUAACGGGCACCACCGACCCGUCUAGAAACACGGACCAAGGAGUCUAACAUGGGCGCGAGUACUCGGGUGACAAGCCUGCGUGCGCAGUGAAAGCAAAGGGCGUGCCCCGCCAACCGACCUUGAUCUUCUGUGAAGGGUUUGAGUGGAGCGUUCCUGUUAGGACCCGAAAGAUGGUGAACUAUGCCUGGAUAGGUUGAAGUCUGCUGAAAGGCAGAUGGAGGGCCGUAGCGAUACUGACGUGCAAAUCGUUCGUCAAAUCUGGGUAUAGGGGCGAAAGACUAAUCGAACCAUCUAGUAGCUGGUUCCCUCCGAAGUUUCCCUCAGGAUAGCUUGAACGCCGACGGUUUUGU